GGAUCCGGUGGCCCCGUGGGCUGGGCCGGUCCACCUGAGGAAAUAUCACAGCGGGGUCUGUCUCUUCUGCCUGGAAUGCCUUUACCUCCCUCCUUCACUAGACAAACUCCUACUUAUACAACAAGACCCAAAUCAGAUGGCCCCUCUUCUGUGAGUAGGGCCUGUGAAGCCCUUCGACGGUGUUGUCCAACAUCCAACAUGGUGGCUGAGUGCUGGAAAUGUAACUGGUUCAGAGGAUUUAGACCUGUGUACGUGGCUUUAUUUGUGACUCACAGGACAUCUCAGUGGGAUGUAGACUGCCGUAGGUGCUCAGUGUCAAGGACACAGGCCCAGACGGGGCGUCCAGAGCACCGAGACAGCCAGAUGUGUGCACGUAUGCAUGUGCAUGCACGGGGGGAUAUUGGUUCCGAAAUAGAAAAAGCUCAAAAAAAUCAAAAUGACUGAGUGUUUAAUUAGAUGUUUGCAAAAUGUGAC